GAAUGGGGUCAAUAUUAAAUUGCCUUAACAAUUUACAUUAGGUGUAGUUAUUUCUGUUGACAAAAAAAAAUGUGUAGUUAUUUCAUGGGGGGGCAGCUACCCUCUCCACCUUCAACGUACAUCAGCCCCUGUUCUCUAGCUGUGUUAGAGCACCUCCAACAAAAAGUUUAGGAAGAGUUUUAACUUUAAAAAUAAAUAAAAAAUAAUCAAAAUUAGGAGAGAGAACAAAGUGGAGUUCUUAAUAAAGACUUUUAAGAACCGUUGAGUAGGUAUGAGACUUUUAUCCGAGAUUCGGAUUCGAUCCGAGAUUCAAUCCGUAUCCGAUCCAAAAAUCUGGAUAUCUGGAGGGGCCGAAUCUGGAUCCGGAU
rnacentral:lncRNA from 1 species